GUCACAUUUUGUGUAUGACUGUGUAUCUGUCUGUGAAUGUAUAUGUAUGAAUGUAUGAGUGUGCAUAUGUCUCACAGUGUGUGAGUCUUUCCGCGUUAGGUACGUUAUUAAACAUACUAUAUGUAAGUGAGGGCUAGUCAGUGUCAAUACGAAAUUUUAUUUUCAUUUCGAUUAAAACAAUAUAACACUU